rnacentral:rRNA from 1 species
CGGUGACAGGUGGUGCAUGGUUGUCGUCAGCUCGUGUCGUGAGAUGUUGGGUUAAGUCCCGCAACGAGCGCAACCCCUAUUGUUAGUUGCCAUCAUUCAGUUGGGCACUCUAGCGAGACUGCCGGUAAUAAACCGGAGGAAGGUGGGGAUGACGUCAAAUCAUCAUGCCCCUUAUGACCUGGGCUACACACGUGCUACAAUGGUUGGUACAACGAGUUGCGAGUCGGUGACGGCGAGCUAAUCUCUUAAAGCCAAUCUCAGUUCGGAUUGUAGGCUGCAACUCGCCUACAUGAAGUCGGAAUCGCUAGUAGUCGCGGAUCAGCACGCCGCGGUGAAUACGUUCCCGGGCCUU